rnacentral:lncRNA from 10 species
UUUUGAGGGCUGAUGGUGAACUAAUAUUGUGUGUCUUUUCCUAGUAGGAGUGGGCAUUGGAGAUUGAAGCUGAGAUCAAUGGCAGACAGGGCAGCAUGGCUUGCACAUGAUUUAUCUGUUCGGCAUAGCAGAAGUGAUUGAAACAGGGAUGGGUGGAAGCUUACUCAAGAUGAGAUACUCCAUGAAAAUCUUUUCCCAAAUAUUUGGGUCUUCCAUAUUGAUACCCAUCCUUACCACCUGUCUCACAGGGAAAGAUGACUUAGAUGUGAAAACUGAGACUGAGAGAGGCUGAAGG